rnacentral:rRNA from 1 species
UGAACGCUAGCGGCAGGCUAACACAUGCAAGUCGAGGGGCGAUCGCGGGGGUAGGCAAUACACCUGGCGGCGACCGGCGGAAGGGUGCGUAACGCGUGAGCAACAUGCCCGUCACAGGGGGAGUAAAAGAAUGGAAACGUCUCCCUAAUACCCCAUAACAUCAGGGUAGGCAUCUACCUUGGUUGAAAGUUACGGCGGUGACGGAUUGGCUCGCGUGACAUUAGCUAGUUGGAGUGGUAACGGCACACCAAGGCGACGAUGUCUAGGGGUUCUGAGAGGAAGGUCCCCCACACUGGAACUGAGACACGGUCCAGACUCCUACGGGAGGCAGCAGUGAGGAAUAUUGGUCAAUGGGCGGAAGCCUGAACCAGCCAUGCCGCGUGAAAAGGAAUAAGGUCCUAUGGAUCGUAAACUUCUUUUGUGCGGGAGCAAUAAGGGUGUCGUGACAUCCGAUGAGAGUACCGUACGAAUAAGCAUCGGCUAACUCCGUGCCAGCCGCGGC